AACUUUUAGUUUAGUUCCGUGGAGUUUGUCUUCGCUCUUUUCCUUUCCGUUCUUUUCUAUUUUUUUUUGGUUGUUGUUUCAGAAAUAAACCCCUAUGGCAGUUAUUCCACACCCUUCCCUCUUCCCCUUGAAACCCCGGGAACGCGACUGUCCAACGGUGUCACGUGACACGGGUGUCCUGUGCGUCCUCACCCGGCAACAGUCCUAGAGACCGACGCCGCCGGCUGCAACAUGAAUGUCAUCUACCCCCUGGCGGUUCCCAAGGGGCGUCGGCUCUGCUGUGAGGUGUGUGAAGCCCCGGCUGAACGUGUGUGCACGGCUUGCACAGUCACUUAUUACUGUGGUGUGGUGCAUCAAAAAGCUGAUUGGCGCAGCAUCCAUGAGAAGAUAUGUCAGCUCCUGAUUCCACUGCGCACUUCCAUGCCCUUCUAUAAUUCAGAGGAAGAACGGCAGCAUGGCUUGCAGCAGCUGCAUCAGCGGCAGAAGCACUUGAUUGAAUUCUGCUACAUGGUUGCCCAGAAAUAUCUUUUUGAAGGAAAACAUGAAGAUGCUGUGCCAGCAGCUUUGCAUUCGCUUCGCUUCCGCAUGGCCAUGCAUGGCCUGAGCUCAGUAGAGCUUGUGCCCGCUUACCUGCUGUUGGCUGAGGCCAGCCUUGGUCUGGGCCGGAUUGUUCAAGCUGAAGAAUAUCUUUCACAAGCCCAGUGGACAGUCCUCAAGUCCACUGAAUGUAGCAAUGCCACCUACUCCUUACUGCAUCGGAAUCUGGGGCUUCUCUACAUGGCCAAGGGAAACUAUGAGGAAGCCCGUUACCAUCUGGCCAAUGAUAUUUAUUUUGCCAGUUGUGCAUUUGGAACAGAGGAUAUCAGGACCUCUGGAGGCUACUUCCAGCUGGCUAAUAUCUUCCAUAGCCUUAAAAAAUUGGACUUGGCAGAUACAUUGUACACUAAGGUGUCAGAGAUCUGGCAUAAAUACUUGAGUGAUCACUAUCAAGUCCUGUCACAGGCUCGCAUCCAACAAAUAGAUUUACUAGGGAAACGAUUUGUGAAUGACACCGGGUUGGAUGAAGCCCAGGAAGCAGAAGCGGUUCAGAUCCUGACUUCCAUCCUGAACUUCCGAGAAUCAACUUCUGACACAUCACCUCAAAAGACUGUUUUUGUUCUGAAAACUCUCAUCAUGCUUUACUAUCAGAUGAUGAAUUCUUCAAAGAUGACUACCAUACUGUACCCAAUGGAAAUGCAGUAUGCCACUACCGCUUGUGCAAGUUUGUCAACAUGAGAUUGUACACGGCACACUAUUGGCUGAUGGAACGGAAUGCGACUGACCACAGCACCAUGUUCUGUAUCCUGGGUGCUGAUUGGCUCAGUGACUGUAGCAUUAUUCUGUUUGCUCUCCCACAUUGUUCCUUCAGAAGAGCCGUAAUGCUCUUCUCGGCUGUGCAGUCCAUUCAUCUCAUUGUCACCUUCAUCGCCAUCAUUACUGCACAGCUACAUGAUUCAUGAUCUUCUUCAUUCAAGUUGUAGAAUACUUCAUUGGAGUGGUGGUGCGCUCACAAAAGCUUAACAACCCGUCACCAGCGUGGUGUCUUUGAACGGUGGAGUUGGGAAGAGAGGGGCAGUGGCACACAGUUAAUUACACAGCAUUUCCACCACAUAAAUGCGGUAGAUGUCAAUAGCCUCAAAAACACAAAUGGUAAAAUAACUAGGAAGUUCAUGAGUUUUGAGUUUUUCUUACCUAUGUUUUAUUUUGUUCAUAUAAUUUAAUGUGUAGUAAUGGCUGUGUUUAAUAACCAGCUCACAACAUUCCCGAAAAUUUAACCAUCUGCUCUCUUGGCCGGUACAAACCUGCCUGGGUGUAUUUCUGGAGCUCAGGGGCCCUCCAGGUGGACCUAAACCCACCAGAUGCUGCCCAGUCCUGCCAUCACAAAGAACUCUGUCAGCUCCACGGAGUGAUUAAGGGCCACCAGCCCUACCCUUACAGGACAUUGGUAUCCUAAAUAGGAAAUUCUGGGAGUCCCGCUCAGAAUAGGACCAGGACAGCAGAAGUUUAGCUACUUUAUCGGCUAGUUCUAUCUAUCUCAGGACUACCAGCGCUGCCAAGUGCAGGUGCUGCUGUCUAUCAGUUCCCUGCACAGCCCCAGGCUUCCUGCACUCCCCUCACCCUGUUUGAUAACGUUGAAUUCAAGUCCCUGGCACCUCCUCCUUCCGUUUGAUGCGAAGCCAGUAAACCUAAUACAGGAAGAGCCCCCUCCCCGAAAAAAAGUGCUAAAUCACUCAAGGUCAGGCUGCUCAUCAGCUUUUUGUCUGAGGCAGCCUUUCCUUCAGGAUUUUUCUAAGUGACAUACACCCCCUAUAUCUUGCAUAUAGCAUCGUAGACUCUCAAGGAUGGAUGAGACCUUCCUAUCAUUAAGCUCAAGCGACAGCCUGCUUGAGCAGCCGCCAGCCCUACCCAGCAUCCCCACUCCCAGCUGCAAAGCUGCCGGCUGCCAGCUUUUAUCCCUUGGCGCUGAGCCACUACACGGGAAGGCUUGUGGUUGCUCACAGUGCGGGCAGCCAAAGGAAAGGAAACCGAAGUACGUACGUAUUCGAGUGUUUCAUUUUCAAGAUUAUGUUUACCGACUGCAGCAGACGUGUCAAAACUAAGAUUUAGCAAGCUGAGGUGACUGUCCUUGAGGUCACACAAGCUCUAGCUUAUCUGAGUCCGGUUUUGAACCCCACUUGACUCACACUGGGGCCAUUCCCAGUAGUCCUUUGCCUUCUGGGGGCAUGCCCCAGCACGCUAGUGGUGAGCAGGGGAAUCAGGACGCUGGGUUAGCAUAGUGAGAAUAAAACGUGUCACCUUCAGGGGUGGCUUUCGAGCUCCCUUGAGGAGGGAGCUGGCUUUGUUUGGGAAAUUCUUUCUGUAAGCCACCAAUGGUAAUGAUUGAAAUCAUGCAGGUAAGUGUUAGGAACCAAAAUUUUAAAAGAGGAAUGAUGAUACCUAAGAAUGUAAGUGGACCUGGCAUGUCCCAGGGAAGAGAGGGCAACCACGUGGCAUGGCAGGAGAGUGGAGACUUCCUCACGGUCCGUGAAGAUUCCGAGCGUGCUGCCAAGUCUGCAUGGCUGCAGCGCCUGCCACUCCCUCUCCCAUCCAGAUGUGCGCACGCGUGCACACACAUUCAUUGGAAUUUUGCCACGUGAUGAGGUGGGGGAGGGAACUGAGCAGGGAUGAGACAACACUGUUGCAUACAAUGAGGUAGCAGAGGUUUGGAAUCACCAGUAGUUACAAAAAAAUAAAUCCCUUAGAAAUCUCAGAAAUCCAAGGGAUCGGAAUGGGAACACAGAACCAUCGGAUUUGAAGAGGUAAGGGGUUCUCAGCCGACGGCUUGCUGUCAGGGGGACACACUGUGGAUUAAAGUGGGAGGAAACUUCUGACCUUGUUGCUGACUGCAACUGGAGUGUGUGAAGCAGACUCCCCUUAAGGUGCGCCUGAUGGGAGUCCAAGAACACCAAAUCCUUGGCCUGCAAGCCCCUUCGCAGUGAGAGGACAUCCGCCAAAACGGGGCUGAGGAAGCCCUUGGUCAGCACGGCAGGGCCUUCUCCUCCACAUCCUAUCACUGAGCGUAUGGUGGAGCUAAAUGGUCUGGCUUACCCUGAAGAGGGUGCAGGACAGGAGCCAGCCUGCACCCUGGAAAUCUCAUGCGCCUUUGGGGCUCUCAGCUAGGUCCAUGCAAUGUUGAAGCACUGACAGGUGCCCAUCAUCACAACUGUCUGGAGAAGAGGAUCGGCAGAGAGUGGGCCCAGGACAGCAGGAAGGGCCGGAUGUGUAGAGGAACAGAACCCUCUCUGGGUACUGACCUGGAGGGAAGUCACACUGCCUGGAUUCAGCCUUGCUGCUGACUGGCUAAGUGACUGGUUUCUGCAGCCAGAUGCCCGAUCUAUAAAACGGGGACUAGACUACUCUCCAAGUGCUGCUACUCCUGUGACCUCCACUCUGGCUCUUGGGGUGAUUUUCCUAAUGCUGCUUUCGAGUCCCAGGAAACAUGAGCUCACAGAACAGGGUCACCAAGUAGGGCUGCAGUAUCAGCCAGGGCUUGGGAUAAUGCCGCGUGUUGGCAGGAACUGUACCUGCAGGAGUCAGAAGGCAUGAAGGAAGUUCACACUCAGCUGUGCGCACUGCAGGAGGGAAGGCUGCAGAGUAGGUCCGCAGAUUUGGAAAGGGGAGUUAUCUAGUUUUAGGGAAGGAUUAAAAUAAUAUAUCCCCAAGGACAGUCUCCGGAUAAAAACAUUUUAAAGCGAUCAUCUGUUCUGCUCUUGAAUAUCAGAGGCGAAGCCAAAAGCAGCACCAUGUUUUCUGUGAGGCUACAGCCCCAGAUCUAAGAACAUUCACUUUGGGGACAGUGACUCAUAGCCGUUGUCAAGGUCCAUCCCAAGACAUCUGCACAGACUAACUGCAAACAGAGGCCUCACUUCCAGGGCAAAGGGCGGAAUUACACUAAAGUGGCUUGUCUGAUGUUGGAUCCGUUUUCUGGCCUGACUCCCUUCACUGUCCUCAGUAGGUUGUGGCUCUUGGCUGCGCCCCCGCGGCACCCUGAUCCAUCCACUUCUGGGAGGGUCAGCUGUUACCUGAGUGGUCCUGGAACACCAUGUCCCCAUUAGCUGCUUCCAUCUUCUUCAGAUUCCUAGUGUUCUCAAAACCAGCAUUCCUCAAGACUUAAAGAAGGGACGAGGUGUAUCUCCCCACUUCCCCAGGUUGUAUCCCAGUAUCUUUAUACAGGGCAGCUGGCUUCAAAGACACCUACCUGUAUUCAGUACAUGCACGAUUCUUUCAUUAAAAUAACCCACAAAACAGCCAUGUUUUCCUCUUUCCCACUAGAAUCCCAAGUCAUCCCAAUUUUGUUUUUCUCACACAAAACUAUCCCAGACCUCUCCUCUUCUCUUUCCUUCUUGCUGGAUUUCAAUCAUCAUGGACUCCCUUAGCUGAGAACAUUGAGUCUACAACCGUGACGGU